CAGUAGCCACGGGAAUACGUAGGGUGCGAGCGUUAAUCGGAAUUACUGGGCGUAAAGCGUGCGCAGGCGGUUAUAUAAGACAGAUGUGAAAUCCCCGGGCUCAACCUGGGACCUGCAUUGGUGACUGUAUAGCUAGAGUACGGUAGAGGGGGAUGGAAUUCCGCGUGUAGCAGUGAAAUGCGUAGAUAUACGGAGGAACACCGAUGGCGAAGGCAAUCCCCUGGACCUGUACUGACGCUCAUGCACGAAAGCGUGGGGAGCAAACAGGAUUAGAUACCCCCGUAGUCCCUGUCUCUUAUAC
rnacentral:rRNA from 1 species